rnacentral:rRNA from 1 species
GAUGAACGCUAGCGGCAGGCCUAAUACAUGCAAGUCGAACGAUACCAGAGAGCUUGCUUUCUGGGAAAGUGGCGCACGGGUGCGUAACACGUAUGCAACCUACCUACAUCAGGGGAAUAACCCGGAGAAAUGCGGACUAAUACCGCAAAAUACAGGGAUGCCGCAUGGCAAUAUUUGUUAAAGAUUUAUCGGAAGUAGAUGGGCAUGCGUUCCAUUAGCUGGUUGGUAAGGUAACGGCUUACGAAGGCAACGAUGGAUAGGGGAACUGAGAGGGUUGUCCCCCACACUGGAACUGAGACACGGACCAAACUCCAACGGGAGGCAGCAGUGAGGAAUAUUGGUCAAUGGACGAGAGUCUGAACCAGCCAAAUCGCGUGAAGGAAGACGGCCCUACGGGUUGUAAACUUCUUUUGUACAGGAAUAAAAGACAUUACGUGUAAUGUAUUGCAUGUACUGUACAAAUAAGCAUCGGCUAACUCCGUGCCAGCAGCCGCCGUAACAC